GCAGGUUUGAUCCCUGGGUUGGGAAGAUCCCCUGCAAGAGGGCAUGGCAACCUGCUCCAGUAUUCUUGCUUGGAGAAUCCCAUGGACAGAGGAGCCUGGCGGGCUGCCGUCCACAGGGUCACAAAAGAUCGGACACGAAGCAACGAGCACCCACGUGCACUGCGCUCUGCUGAAGCCCCGAUGGUGGUUAGCAUUUCUAAGCAAUGAAGUAUCUUUUAAUUAAAUGGUCUGGAACUGAACACCCGCAUCUGAAGGUAUGCCUGCAGUUGGUUUGCAAGGCUGGGGAACACCAUUUUCUCAGACUCAACCCCAGAGAAGACACACACGGGAUGAUAUUCCUGGUGACAUGGUGUUCGGCGCAGGGCUUGUAGUGCUAGGAGAGGAAGGGUCUUUCCCCUGAGAAGGUCCCCCCUAAGGUAAGUCCGCAAGUCGCCUAAGUGAGACGGCCCGGCUGCAGAGGACGGCGCUCACCAGGGCCCCGGGUCCAGGCUUUCCGGGCUCCUCUGGCACCGUGGGGCAGCGGUGCCCCGCGUCCCUGGGGCGGCCCCUCCUCCGGGCCCUGUCCGCCCCCUCCUGCUCACGGCCACUUCUGAGGCCCCUGGCCUGCCUACUGCUGGCCUGUCCUGAUGGCCAGGCUGUGUCCCACCAGCGUCUGAAUUCAGGGCUCGCUUUCAGAGCCGGGUAUGGAGGCAACUCCUUCUUUUCCUCACUGUGCCUUUUACAUGCAAUGUGCAGUUGAUCUAAUUUCUUAGUUUCCUAUAGUUCUCCAUCUGUAGGAACUUUGGGAAAAUUUACCCGAGACUUGUCUGGGGGAAUAUUUGGAGAGUCUUACCUGCUGUACCCCUGUUUCCCUGAGGUGUCAGGACAAGCCUCCCCUGGGACACCUUCCAUUCGCUGGGCCUUUAGAGGGUGCAAAUAAACUGCACUGUUUUCUGUUGCAAAAACUCUAACUUUAGCCAUUUGCCAUUUCAUGCUUUGUAGAGCUUCCCUGGUGGUUCAGAUGGUCAAAAAUCUGCCUGCAAUGUGGGAGAGCUGAGUUGAUCCCUGGGUCGGGAAGAUCCCCUGGAGGAGGGCAUGGCAACCCACUCCAGUAUUCUUGCCUGGAGAAUCCCACAGACAGAGCAGCCUGGCAGACCUCAUGGAGGACCUUAUUGCCAGAAGGACCCUUCCCAAACCUUCCUGGUGCCUACAAAUACAUAUCCAGUCUCUUGUCACAAUCAAUAUUCUUGGAAAUAAGGAAAAUGUAUAGUUCUUAAUACACUGAUUUUCUCCACAAAUUUAUUGACCAUGUCAAAUGAAGUUGAGCAAGACACGCUACAUCAGACAAUUGUUUUUAAUGUCUUUGUGCAAUCUUCCUUUAAAAACAAAAUGGGAACAUUUUUGUGCUGAAGCAUUUUGCAAGUUGCCAGGCGCUGGUUUGUAUUUUGGUGUGUGUCACGGCAGAGGUUGGGACAGAACCAUUGUCUUCUGAGGCAAUCGUUUUCCAUGGAGAACAGACAGCCUGGAAAUGCUGGAAAUUAGGGAUCUUCUCAUCUUUUGACCUAAAGGGUUGAUCCAGACUCAUUUAUGAAGUUAAGGUGUGGAGUAAACAAUGUUCAGGAAGGUUCAGCUUGGUAGCAAUUACAUAAGCAAAAUCACUGGAACAAAACAAGCAAAUAAAAACAUCGUUUUGGCGUGUGUGGGCCCCGAUUGCACAACUCGACGCCUUGAGCUGACCCUGUAAUUAGUCAUGAUGGUUCCUGACGUGGAUGUACCUGCAUGGGGGCGGGGGAGACACGGUUACACCAACAAAAACAUUCUCAUUUUUGCAUGACCUGACGUGGCCUCCUUUCUCCCAAAGGGGAGCUCAUUUGGACAAAUGAUGUUCGCCACGGGCAGAUUCUGAACUGGCAAAUGCAGGGAAACUAACAAAAAUGCAGCAAUCAAUGGAGAAAGAAAGUCCAAAUCAAUUCCACAAUAUGAAGAGGUGAGAAGAGGCAGGGGCCAUCCGUGUGAAAAGCAAUGAACUGGGAGAAAAAUGUGGGACGGGCCUCUCUCCUCCACCUCAGUCAGACUGAGUGUCCCUCUUGAAAAUGACAAGAGCCCUGGAAACGCAGACGUCAAAUUCAGCAAAUAGGUACCCUGUGUUUCUUCCGAACAGCACAGACUUUCUGUUAGAAUGGGAAUCAAUCUAUGAAAAGAAAUCAAUCUGUCAAUAUGUUCCUGUUUUUCUCCACCAGCAAGGAACUCAGCUCAUUUUGAAAAGCCAAAAGGAACACAGGCUGCCUCUUAGAAUGAAUGCCCCAGGGAAGCUUAGCAUUUGGAGGUCAGAUGUUCUUAGGAGAUCAAGAGAGCUCCUCAGUCUGCCUGGCUGUGGGGAGGUGGAGAAAGCAAGCCUGCGGUGAUGCUAUGAGGUUCCUCCACUCACUGUGUAGGGCGGGUCGGGCAGAGGAAUCCACAGGGCCCCGGGUGGGUGAAAGUGGGAGUGUUAGUCGCUCAGUCGUGUCUGAAUCUUUGCAACCCCACGAACUGUAGCCCGCCAGGCUCCUCUGUCCAUGGAAUUCUCCAGGCAAGAAUACUGGAGUGGGUUGCCAUUUCCUUCUCCAGGGGGUUUUCCCAACACAGGGAUUGAACUCGCAUCUACCACUUGACCACUGGAGGAGCCCAGAAACAGGACAACAUGUGCUAACUCCCAUGCAGUGUUUUAUUGAGGGGGAAAAAAAGUCUUGUCUGUCUAGUGAUUAUAAUUCUCUCUCCAGAUGAGCCUCAUUUCACCCUGGGCUUCUCAUCUUGAAGGAAGGAAAAAAACAAGUUGUAUUCAGCUAUCAGGGAUUCUUGCAGACCUGGUAGAUUCCCUUGUUCAAAGCUCUUGGGUUUGUGUGAAAAAGCAAACAAACUCAGAAAGCAAAACCCUAAAGCUUCCAACAAAUUGGAAAUACACAGUCAAUGAGGGACAAUAUUUAUCUUUUGGAGAAGACCUUUAAAUAAAGACUCAGAGGGAAAAAAAAAAAAAAGAAAAAGAAUCAUUUGGUGUAUUUCCCCAGCGUAUUGGCUUUUUGAUUGUCAGUAUAUGCAUUUUCACUUCCGCCAAGACAUCUGCAUCCAUCCUUUUAUUACCAGAGACUGAGCAUCACCAGGCAAGACUGCUACUAUGGCAAGUGCUUUUAUCGGAAGAGGAAUGUAAAUGAGAGGAACUCACAAAAUGUACGGCGAAAACAGGAAGGCAGAGAAAAAAAAAUUCUUCCUUCUUGGGCCUAAGCAUUUUAAAGGAGAUGGUGACCAUGAAAUAUUUAACAAUUACCUAUGUAGGUAAGCAACCUCAUUGUAAGAACUGUAGGAGGCACCAAGGCAAACACGGGAGGUUUCCUGAUCUCAAGGACCUCGCACUCUGGUUGGGGAAUCCUGCCAUAAGCAGCACAGAUGGAUGAGCCCCUCGAUGUGAUACACACGUGGUGAACUGAGAAAGAAGUUAGAAAACAGGUGCUUUGGGAGCCCAGUUCUUUGACCAAAGUCAAGAAUGAAAGGGAGAAGAUGCUUCCUUAGUGGAAGGCAAAGGGGGACAUUUUAAGUAAGUACAUCUAUGUUAUGAGGUCAUGGAUCAGGAUCUGAAACCUUAUCUGCUAAUUUUUCCUUCCAUUUUAUUUGCAAGGAAGAGAAUGACUGUCAUUAUCUGAGGGAUGUUUACUGUUGCAUAGAGGGUUUAGCUUGAAAGCCUUAUUGUGACUUUGGGGUCGUUUCAGUCCACAGAAAUGUGCAUGUGAGGAACGGGAAGCAGAACUCAGCUGCCUUGGUUUCCAGCGGGUUUGCAGCUGAUGUAGGGGGAGCUCCCCGAAACCAGUGCAGCCGGAGCCCAGGGACCUGGAAAGGGAGACGCUCCGUGCCUGCCCCUCCCUGCCCCGCACAGGGCCCCCCUGCAGCCAGCACCCAGCGCCCCUCCGGCCACACUCUUGCUCCUACCGGCCUGGCCGCAAACAGCACCCUGGAGUUUGGUGAGUCUGCCCGGCGGUUCUCUCUGUGAAGUUGCCUCGAACACUGAACUAGGCCAUCCUGAACCUUCACUUCGGGGGAAGCACAGCACUAGGAAGGUCCCGUGAGCUGCUGGGUGCCACAUUUUCACCAGCUGACGAGAGAGAGCCCUGCCUUGGAGGAAAGAAGUUUGUUUCACGUGUCCUACAAAGGGUUCUGAUCGCAGAGGAAUACGGAUAAAGCUGGACAUGAAGGAUAUGAGGGUCAUCCAAGGAGAUGAGAGUGAGACGGAGCAGGACCCUGUGGGGCUCCUGGGCACAAAAGACGUCUGUGUCCCCCGUUUCUUGAUUACAGGAAUUAGGCUUCAUUCAGCCUCCAUGACCUUCCCUGAGUUCCAACAGGAAGGUUCAAACAGCUGCCAAUCAGGGAAGGGAGGGGGUGCAGAAACCAGGAAAGAGCCGUCAAGAAACAGUAGGGCAGACUUGGAGCCCGGCCCUGGUUCCCCUCAAGGGAUACACAGGAAGAUAUCUUGGAGCUUUCUGCAGAUACUGAAACCCCCGCUACAUAGGAGAAGUUAGCUGCUUUCUGCCCACAAACACGGAGGCCCCGGAUGGCUUGGAACCAGAAAGUUGAUGAUGCUGACCCCACUUCCCUCACUGCCAAGCCAUCAGGAGGGUGUCCAUGAGCUGGUCAUGCCCUCUGUGAACCAAUACCAUACAAUUCUUCACUACUCCCUCCAGAUGGGGUCAGAGUUUUGAAGGCAUUAGCCCGUUGGGGCAAACCCCUUUGCCUGGCAAAGCAAUAAAGCUAUUCUUUUCUAGUUCACCCAGA